CCUACGGGCGGCAGCAGUGGGGAAUAUUGGACAAUGGGUGAAAGCCUGAUCCAGCCAUGCCGCGUGUGUGAAGAAGGCCUUCGGGUUGUAAAGCACUUUCAGUGGGGAAGAAAGCCUUGGGGCUAAUACCCUCGAGGAAGGACAUCACCCACAGAAGAAGCACCGGCUAACUCCGUGCCAGCAGCCGCGGUAAUACGGAGGGUGCGAGCGUUAAUCGGAAUUACUGGGCGUAAAGCGCGCGUAGGCGGUCUGAUAAGCCGGUUGUGAAAGCCCCGGGCUCAACCUGGGAACGGCAUCCGGAACUGUCAGGCUAGAGUGCAGGAGAGGAAGGUAGAAUUCCCGGUGUAGCGGUGAAAUGCGUAGAGAUCGGGAGGAAUACCAGUGGCGAAGGCGGCCUUCUGGACUGACACUGACGCUGAGGUGCGAAAGCGUGGGUAGCAAACAGGAUUAGAUACCCGGGUAGUC
rnacentral:rRNA from 1 species